rnacentral:sRNA from 1 species
UGUGGUUUCUGGGAUUUGAACUCAGGAGCAGUCAUUGCUAUUAACCACUGAGCCAUCUCUCCAGCCCAGUGAAAGUCUUUUAAAACCUCAGUGCCCAACCCAGUGGCAGACAUCCUCCAUCAAGGCCACACCUCCCAAUCCUCUCUGAACAUGGCCUCAGCUGGAUUUGAAGGAUUCAUUCCCAUGAGCCUGUGUGGCUGUUCUCAUUCAAACCAGCACAGCAGUCACUGUGAAGUGUAAGAGGCCAGCAGGGUUCUGGAGAUGUGUCCAGUGCAGGCUGAGGGAAAUGCCCUCACACAGGGCACUCUGCUGGGUUAGGUCUCUCCUUUGUCUCUGUCUCCUCCUGCUCAGCCCCUCUAUGUCUCUGUCCCUCAGGUCUCACCCCAUCCGUGCCCAGCUCCCCUCCCUCCUGAGCUCUGCACUGACCCUGUCUCUUCCUUGGCCUCUGGUUUCUCUAUGGCGUCAGCCAGCAGCUGUGAGGCAGCUGUGUGGUUCCUGAGGCAAACAUUCCAAUGGUGGCUGGGGAGAGGGCUCAGCAGCCAGGAGCACUUGUUGCUGGUGCAGAGGAUCCAGGCUGAGUUCCCUCAGCACACGGUGGCUUCCACCGUCUGUGACUUCAGUUCCAAGGGAUCAAUGGCUGUGCACCUACAUGUUUAUAUGCACAAAGAGGACAGGUCAUGAAAAUAAAAUAUAAAAGUAUGAUUUUAAUUAUCCUGCCUGUCUUUCUUCUACACAUCGAGAGUGUGAGGCCAGGGGCGGAGGGCACAGUGCUGUUCAGACAACAGUGGACCACCAGCCAUUGAGAUGGUUGAAAUAGUGUAUUGAAAUGACAAUUUACAGAACAGCAUAAAAUUAAAUAUACAAAAGAUCUUUCACUGUACGGACCUGCUGUGCACAGUGGAUCACGGCCUCAUUCCAGGGAGAAGACACACUGUGUGCUGAUCUUUGUAAUUGAGCAGAUGUCAGUUUUGAUUCCCCAUGAACAGGAUAAAUUCCACUCAGAUGGUUGGAUAUUAAUUUAUAACAGACCAGAACAUCCAAACACCCAGAAUGUUCCUCAGAGAAAGGUGUCCCUUUCCCCAUCUUCCCUCCCACUGCUGACCCUCCAGGUCUCACCUGUUAAAGAUGGUAGAGAAGCGUCCCGUUCUUGUCCAAUAGCACCUCCUGGUGGAAGAAACAGAGAGGACGGAGUCUGAGCCCACGGAGCUGAGGGUAAAGGGGACCCAGGCUGGCUGUGCUGCCCCAGGGCUUCCUUGCUGUCUGUGCUUCUCCAGGGCUCUCAGGUCUCAUGCUGCCCUGCUCUCAUCACACUUACAUCCAGAAGAACUUUACAUGCUUUUCCAGCCCUGGGAAGAAAACGCCCUGUAAGAGGGGAGGCAGGAGGCAGAGCCCUGAGUGCUCAGAGGAGCUGCAAAGCCCCAGAGGCUGUGUUUCCUGUCUCUAGUCCUACAACCAGACUUCAGACAAAGUAGACUCCAGGAGGGGAGGUCGAGUGUGUAGUCCAUGAGGAGGAGCCUCUACUUCUGUGCACACAUGUGAGGAACUUGACAGGUUUGCUAAUUCACUAAGCAGAAGUCUGGGGAACGUGUGGGAGUGGAUUUUGAGGGUGUGGGAUAAUGACGGAAGGAACAUAAAAUUGAAUCUGGGUGAGAUUUUCAGUAUGGGAACACUGACUGGACAUUGGACUUUAAUCUGUGAUUUUUAACCUUUUAAAAAGGUGAAAAAGGUUUGUUUGAAGGGUUGGCUGAACUGUUUAUCAAAAGAAGGUCUACUGAAAAGGGGUUGAAGAUUCAUUGACAGCCCUACCUUACACCUGACCUGGGAGAUAGUAGAGCCAGGAGGAGCUGACUGAGCAGAGAGGCUAGAACGGUUGUCACAGUCUGGAGCUGCUGUAAUUGGGACAUCUGGGAGAAGGGACUGUUUAAGUGCAGUGUCCGGAAUUGAGGGAGGAGUUGGGAGAAACGUUAGACGGGGCUGGGCUGGAUGAUGGAAGGAAUUGUUGGAAAGAAAUUAGAUUGACAGCUCUCUCCCUCUUUCUCUCUCUCCUGCUUCUUUCCUCUCUAGUCAUAGGGGAUAAAACCAGGAGGACAAAGGGUGGGGAAAAAAGAACCAACAAAGUAAGGAAGACCAGCUACAUGGCUCUCUGUGUAUCCCUGGCUGCCCUGGGACUCACUCUGUACCCAAGGCUGGUCUUGAACUCACAGAUCUGCCUGCCUCUGGGUAUGUACAACCAAGGCUCAGGAAAUAUUCUUAAUCAAAUCACCACAGAAGCCUACUGAAGUUUUGUUUGGUCACAUAAGUGGGAAAAUGGUCAACAAAUGAGAGAAAGGCUACAUACUAGUGGCCAAAGAGCAUCUCAUCCCAUGAAUCAGUUUCUAACCUUGAGACAGUUUGCAGAUGCAGAACUCCUUGAAUGAAGGAAUGGCCAGGUUACCCUGAGUAAGUACCUUAUAAAACAUCUAAAAUGUAUACUGCUAGCCUUUCUCCAGUGCUUUCCUAGUGGGACCUACAGGAGACCCAGGGUAACCAUACCCUGGGGAGAAGAACUAAUCAGACUUACCAGGCUCUAUUGCAUAUUAGCCCAAAUUAAUGCUGACUCCAGGAGCUCCGAGGAAACUUUACGGUUCUUCAGUCAGAGUAGAGUGUUAUGGAGGGCCAGGGAUUAAUGAGGUUUUGGCUGAAAUCUGAAUCACAUCAGGCCCAGUGGGUUCCUGAAUUCAUCCUGUGGUUAUUUUUCCAGUCCCAGAAGGUAGAAUUGGGAUACAUGUACUUAGAGGUUGUCAGAAUGCUCACACUGGUUCCCUGACCUGUGGACUGAGGGCUAUCAUGGUUGGAAAGGGUAACUGGAAGCCUUGAGAGUUCCCUCUG